UUAGAUAUUGUAAAAGGAGAAUAAAAAGCAAACAAAUGAAAAUCUACAGCUAAGAAUCAAUAAAAAUUGCUGAAAACAGAAAACCUGAAAAACUGCGGAGUAACUUGACAACUUCGUUCGAGGUGUUCCCGAUCUCCAAAAAUCACAAAAUUAAAUCUGGAGUGUCCUUAUAUAUUGAAUUUUUGAUCUGGAAAUUUUGGGCACCAAAUUCAA
rnacentral:lncRNA from 1 species